ACUCCUACGGGAGGCAGCAGUGGGGAAUAUUGCACAAUGGGCGCAAGCCUGAUGCAGCAACGCCGCGUGAGCGAUGAAGGCCUUCGGUCGUAAAGCUCUGUCCUCAAGGAAGAAUAAAUGACGGUACUUGAGGAGGAAGCCCGGCUAACUACGUGCCAGCAGCCGCGGUAAUACGUAGGGGGCAAGCGUUAUCCGGAAUCACUGGGGCGUAAAGGGUGCGUAGGCGGUUUUCAAGUCAGAAGUGAAAGGCUAUGGCUCAACCAUAGUAAGCUUUUGAAACUGUUAAACUUGAGUGCAGGAGAGGAAAGUGGAAUUCCUAGUGUAGAGGUGAAAUUCGUAGAUAUUAGGAGGAACACCAGUGGCGAAGGCGACUUUCUGGACUGUAACUGACGCUGAGGCACGAAAGCGUGGGGAGCGAACAGGAUUAGAUACCCUGGUAGCACAGAG
rnacentral:rRNA from 1 species